UCUGGUUGAUCCUGCCAGUAGUCAUAUGCUUGUCUCAAAGACUAAGCCAUGCAUGUCUAAGUAUAAGUGUUAUACAGCGAAACUGCGAAUGGCUCAUUAAAACAGUUAUAGUUUAUUUGAUAAUCGAAUUUACAUGGAUAACCGUGGUAAUUCUAGAGCUAAUACAUGCUGGUGUGCCCGACUUUUGUGGAAGGGCGGUAUUUAUUAGAUAACAAGCCAAUAUUCCUCUGGUCUAUUGUGGUGACUCAUAAUAACUGAUCGAAUCGCAAGGCCUUUGGCCGCGAUAAGUCAUUCAAGUUUCUGCCCCAUCAGCUUUCGAUGGUAGUGUAUUGGACUACCAUGGCGUUCACGGGUAACGGAGGAUUAGGGUUCGAUUCCGGAGAGGGAGCCUGAGAAACGGCUACCACAUCUAAGGAAGGCAGCAGGCGCGUAAAUUACCCAAUACUAAUUCAGUGAGGUAGUGACAAGAAAUAACAGACCAGGGUUCUACCCUGGGACUGCAAUGAGCUCAAUUUACACCCCUUUGUCGAGGAUCAAUUGGAGGGCAAGUCUGGUGCCAGCAGCCGCGGUAAUUCCAGCUCCAAUAGCGUAUAUUAAAGUUGUUGCAGUUAAAAAGCUCGUAGUUGGAUUUCUGGCGGGAUGAACACGCCCUCAGCUGAGUGUGCAUGAGCGUCUCACCAUCCUUCUGUUAACCCUUAAGGUUUUAACGACCUUCUGGGGGCUCAGAUAUUUUACCUUGAGAAAAUUAGAGUGUUUCAGGCAGGCUAGCGCCGGAAUACAUUAGCAUGGAAUAAUAGAAUAGGACUUUUGCCUCUUCUGUUGGUCUGAGGGGUUCAAGUAAUGAUUAAUAGGGAUAGUUGGGGGCAUUAGUACUUAACUGUCAGAGGUGAAAUUCUCGGAUUUGUUAAAGACUAACUUAUGCGAAAGCAUUUGCCAAGGAUGUUUUCAUUAAUCAAGAACGAAAGUUAGGGGAUCAAAGACGAUCAGAUACCGUCCUAGUCUUAACCAUAAACUAUGCCGACUCGGGAUCGGGGGCGCGAACUAUCCGCCUUCGGCACCGUAUGAGAAAUCAAAGUCUUUGGGUUCUGGGGGGAGUAUGGUCGCAAGGCUGAAACUUAAAGGAAUUGACGGAAGGGCACCACCAGGCGUGGAGCUUGCGGCUCAAUUUGACUCAACACGGGGAAACUUACCAGGUCCAGACAUAGUGAGGAUUGACAGAUUGAUAGCUCUUUCUUGA
rnacentral:rRNA from 1 species